CAGACGGGAGACAGGAGGUAAGGUUUGGACCCAAAUGCGGGUUAGUUUUCCAGGUACGGUACAGGACACGGGAACAGACAGGGAUCGAAGUCGUGGGCAGGCGUGGCUCUUCCGAGGUGCGGAAGUCUUUCCGAGGGGCGAGGCAAAAAUCAAAACCUAGUGGACGUGCAGGAGAUCAAAAGCCAGUAAAUCGAAGAACAAGGGACAAGAGAUGUAGAGGAGGGAGGAGACAUACUGAAUCACAGGCCAAGCGGGUGAGCUCUGUAAGAUUCCGCAACCCGGUGAGUUGACAGUGCUCCCUUUAUACCUGGCCGGUCUGAUUUGAGGCAGGUGCGUUUUUUUUUUCCAAGAAGCUUUUUUUCAUCAUCUCUGGAAGCAAGACUGCCAUUGUGAGAGACAAAACUUGUAACACACAUAUGAUGGCCCGUGGAAGUGGACUGUGGAUGCAUAUUCAGUGAGUGUGUUUAGUGUGCACACUCUUCAUCCAGCAGCCUAAAAGGGUUUGCAGGUAGUCCAAGCGAAUCACAUUCUCGGCCGAGUGCGCCAAAUCACCCGUUUUUUUCCAUAGCUGCGCCACUGUGUUGGCAUCUUCACACCAAAGCAUACACUGAAACAUGGUAGACAAAGGGAGGAGUUGUAUAGUGCUGGGGCUGGAAUAGCUUGCAUUGUUCUCGGCAGCACUCCUCUUGACUGGUGGAAAGACAACGUACCCAUAGUCCCAGUGCUUUGUCCUCUGGCCAAAUUACACUUGUGUGUCCCUGUCGGGUCAGUGUGUACUGAGCGAAUCUGUUUUACUGAAGGGGACACAGUGGCAGCACAGAUGACUCCAGUACUUCUUGACUGUGUGGACAUGAUAAUGUUUUGAAGAAAAAAAAUGUAUCAUUAUUCCAACACUUUGAAGCCAUCUUUGAAGAAAUUGUGGAGUACAGAGGAGAUUUGGAGAGAGGUGGCUCUGAAAGAUCUAGUGAGAUCAAGUGUUUCGAGACCAGACAAACAUGCAGAACAUACAGUACAUGAGAAUGCGCACAGAUCCCGCUCAGCAACAAGACGGCCUGACAAGAGAGAUGCUGAUGCUGCUCCUCCUGCCUGUGACCACAUCCUCCUCACACUCAGAGGCGAGGCCAUGAGUAGCACAGUCCUUGCUGAAAGGAUACUUUUCUUACUCACCCUGCUAAAUAUAAUUAUGGAAGUUAUACGCCAUCAAACACAUUUCCCUCACAAUGUAUGCAAACAUACCAUUUAAGGCCUGUGAACCAAAACAGCCCUGGGGUCCACAUAUGGGCCAAGUGGGCACUGUGGCUCCUGUAAUGAUCAUUUCAUUGCUUCCUCAAGGUGAAACGUACCUACAGCAAUAUCUCAGUUUGAGUCGUGCGUCUAACGCGUCAGCUGGUCAGUCCGAAAAGAUUAAAUGACAAAGAUGACACAUGUUCACCUUGAGGUGUAAUUAAUUAUGAAACAAGAAACAGAUAAUAUAAUAAAAUAGUAUCAUGUUAUAGUACA
rnacentral:lncRNA from 1 species